rnacentral:rRNA from 1 species
UGAUACCGCCCAAGAGUUCAUAUCGACGGCGGUGUUUGGCACCUCGAUGUCGGCUCAUCACAUCCUGGGGCUGAAGUAGGUCCCAAGGGUAUGGCUGUUCGCCAUUUAAAGUGGUACGCGAGCUGGGUUUAGAACGUCGUGAGACAGUUCGGUCCCUAUCUGCCGUGGGCGCUGGAGAAUUGAGGGGGGCUGCUCCUAGUACGAGAGGACCGGAGUGGACGCAUCACUGGUGUUCGGGUUGUCAUGCCAAUGGCACUGCCCGGUAGCUAAAUGCGGAAGAGAUAAGUGCUGAAAGCAUCUAAGCACGAAACUUGCCCCGAGAUGAGUUCUCCCUGACUCCUUGAGAGUCCUGAAGGAACGUUGAAGACGACGACGUUGAUAGGCCGGGUGUGUAAGCGCAGCGAUGCGUUGAGCUAACCGGUACUAAUGAACCGUGAGGCUUAACCUUACAACGCCGAAG